rnacentral:rRNA from 1 species
AUUGAACGCUGGCGGCAUGCCUUACACAUGCAAGUCGAACGGCAGCGCGGACUUCGGUCUGGCGGCGAGUGGCGAACGGGUGAGUAAUACAUCGGAACGUACCCUGUUGUGGGGGAUAACUAGUCGAAAGAUUAGCUAAUACCGCAUACGACCUGAGGGUGAAAGGGGGGGACCGCAAGGCCCCACGCAGCAGGAGCGGCCGAUGUCUGAUUAGCUAGUUGGUGGGGUAAAGGCCCACCAAGGCGACGAUCAGUAGCUGGUCUGAGAGGACGAUCAGCCACACUGGGACUGAGACACGGCCCAGACUCCUACGGGAGGCAGCAGUGGGGAAUUUUGGACAAUGGGGGCAACCCUGAUCCAGCAAUGCCGCGUGUGUGAAGAAGGCCUUCGGGUUGUAAAGCACUUUUGUCCGGAAAGAAAUCGCGCUGGUUAAUACCUGGCGUGGAUGACGGUACCGGAAGAAUAAGCACCGGCUAACUACGUGCCAGCCGCCGCGGUAAUAC